rnacentral:piRNA from 1 species
UAAAGCCUUGAACUGGAAUUGACAAU